rnacentral:rRNA from 1 species
AGUGAACGCUGGCGGUAGGCCUAACACAUGCAAGUCGAACGGCAGCACAGUAAAAGCUUGCUCUUACGGGUGGCGAGUGGCGGACGGGUGAGGAAUACAUCGGAAUCUACUUUUUCGUGGGGGAUAACGUAGGGAAACUUACGCUAAUACCGCAUACGACCUACGGGUGAAAGCAGGGGAUCUUCGGACCUUGCGCGAUUGAAUGAGCCGAUGUCGGAUUAGCUAGUUGGCGGGGUAAAGGCCUACCAAGGCGACGAUCCGUAGCUGGUCUGAGAGGAUGAUCAGCCACACUGGAACUGAGACACGGUCCAGACUCCUACGGGAGGCAGCAGUGGGGAAUAUUGGACAAUGGGCGCAAGCCUGAUCCAGCCAUACCGCGUGGAUGAAGAAGGCCUUCGGGUUGUAAAGCCCUUUUGUUGGGAAAGAAAAGCAGCAGGUUAAUACCCCGCUGUUCUGACGGUACCCAAAGAAUAAGCACCGGCUAACUUCGUG